GUCUAUGGUGUCGUGAAGUUCUGGGCCUGUACAUCCACUCACCCCGCUCUCUCCUUCUCGAAGAGCAACUGAAGUCCUGCAGGCUCAUCCACGGAGCUGAAAAUUGAUGUCUAUAUGGUUACCUGCACAUGGAUGUUUAUAGCAACUAUUGAGAAAUGUCACAACUUGAAAGCAGCCAAGAUGUCCUUCAAUAGACUGGAAAUGCUGUUUGGUCUAUGAUGCCAAAGAGAGGGGUAACGUUUAUGUGGGCCUUGUUACCUUGUUCCUAAAUGAACAAAGAGAGGAAGGGAAAAUGGGGUUCUCUGUUCCUCUUCCCCUGACUGUGGUAAUGGAUCCAGGAUUGGAGGUCNNNNNNNNNNAAAAAGGGAAAGAGGAAGUGGAGCAGCAGAAGCUCAGGGUGGGGGCCUGGGCCUGGCAGGUGGGGAUGCCCCUGUGUGUUCACCUGUGUGUGUGCAGGCAGGGAGCCACCAUCCUGACAGUACCAAGAUGCUCUCUUGUCCUAGGGGAGGGACCCUAGAAGAGUAGGCUGGGCCAUGGGAUAUUGUUUCUAGUCUCAGGUUUGGAGGAACAUGGGGAGAAGAGCAAAUCCAGCAUGAAAUGGGUCUGCUCCUGUCUUCUGGCCAAGGUGUCCCUCUUAGUGUGUGUGGGAGGGUGGGGGGCAUGGAAUCCAUUACAGAGGGAGCCAGCGCUUCCUGAGCACUCCAUGCUGAAAGUCUGGUAUUGACGGACUAGGAAGAGGCAAAGAAUCAUGCCCAUCAGUCAUCUGAGCCCUGUUGCAGCUGAGAUUUGCUCAUCCACAAAUGCUGCCUGGACCAACCCUGGUAGAGUUGGUUCUAGGGUCUGGUAGGGGGAGGAAAGCCAGUACCCACCAGGAAGGGCCAGGGACACCCAGCCCCUCUCUCAGCAAUGCUUUCUCUUCCAGACUCUUCAAGUUCCUGUAUGUAGCACACAUCAUUCUUGCAGGAGUGGUGUAUCACUAUUUCCAGAUGUCUGUGGGGAAAAUAGCCCCUGAGAUUGUGGCGGAGUCAUCACAGCCCAUAGGGAAGACCUUAAGGCCUGUGUGGGGGAUGAUGAUGGAUAAAUGCUACCCUGAAACCACUCAGGACAUAAGCCCCAGACCAACAGGAAGACAGAAUGAUUCUGCCCCCAAGGAGGAGACCAACACCUUGCCUCAGGAGGAAGGGCAGGAAAAGCAAAAGGUCCAACAGGAAGUUGCUGAAUAUCCAUCUGGUAAGACUGCUUGCUCAAACCUGCUGCAAAGGGGCUUCUGUGAUAGCAAGGAGGAAAGGCUAUGGGGCUGGGCCCCUCAGCUCCUGCGAAAGGAAAGUUCUGGGAGGGCUGGUUUCCUGCCCCUGACACUCCCAAGAUGCAGAGCCUUGAAUGAGAAGGGAUCUAAUAAACCCUGGAGUUCCUGCCUCUACUGGUCCAGUGCCUCCUUUCAGGGGCCCCACAGCUGCUCAAACAAGCCCCAUCUGCCUGCAUCUGCACAUUCUCGACAGCUCCAGGGACACUGCUUCCUGCCCAGACUUGUCCCCCUAGUGGACACUCUGCAAGUGGCCCGUGUAGGACCUGGCAACUCUCUGACUCAGUGCCAGGUACCAGGCCAUGGCCUAGCAUGCUGCAAGCUGGGGAGCUCCCUGUCCCAAGGGCACUUACUAAAGUGGUUAUGGAGACCCUAGUUGAGAUGCUGCAGGGUUCUUGGGAGAAGAGGCCUUGGGUCGCUUCUGCUCUGUCUGGAGUUCCCUGUCCCAGGCUGUCUCAUGAACAGGGAAGCAGAUGGUACUUACUCAGCCUUGGGUGCUGUCUCCAUGGCAGAACAUGCCAUGAGGGAUGGGGACAGAGAUGAAAGAAACUGGUUCUUGCCCUAAGUUGGGUGGACUCCAGGACAACAAGGGUCGUAGGCCCAGAAGUCAGAGGAGGAAGACAGGCAUUGACAACCAUCUGGUGCAAACUCCUCAGUGGCAAAAGGGCAGCAGAAGCCCAGGGUGGAAGGGAGGGCCCCAGAGUUUGUGCAGUGUAAUGGCACAGCGAGGUCUAGAAGCAGGGUCUCUAUCUCUCUGCAGCCCACCUUACCUACUUCUCUGCCUCCCUCGUAGUCACACGGGUUGCACCCUCUCCCUAGGCCCCCACAGGCUCAUCCCCUAAUCUGACCUGGCCACUUAGAAGGUGGAGCCCUGGCCUGCAGCCCCAAGUGUCCUCUAACUCUAGCCAGGCCUGAGAAGCAACUCUACACUACAAGGGGCCUGGACAUCCACAUCUCUGAGGGGCCAGGAACUAAGACCAAUCUUGUCUUCUAGUGACACAGGGAGGUGGCUCACUCCUGGGCUCCCUCCAGGCCUUCCCAUGAAACUUCUGACAGAGCCCUGGUGUCAAUCCCUGCCUUCCUGAUUUCUCCACCUCUCUGGGGUGUCAUAUAAGAAGUUAGAUUACAGAUCUGAUGCCUGGCUGAGCACUGGCACCUGGUGUGUUGUAGGUGCAGUUGGAGCUGAAACCAGGGCCUCCAGCUGGAGUCCUCCUAUUCCCCACCCACCCAGACACCACUGACCCCUCUUGGCAGCCAUUCUGAGCC
rnacentral:lncRNA from 1 species